GAUGAACGCUAGCUACAGGCUUAACACAUGCAAGUCGAGGGGAAACGACAUCGAAAGCUUGCUUUUGAUGGGCGUCGACCGGCGCACGGGUGAGUAACGCGUAUCCAACCUGCCCAUCACUUGGGGAUAACCUUGCGAAAGUAAGACUAAUACCCAAUGAUAUCUCUAGAAGACAUCUGAAAGAGAUUAAAGAUUUAUCGGUGAUGGAUGGGGAUGCGUCUGAUUAGCUUGUUGGCGGGGUAACGGCCCACCAAGGCAACGAUCAGUAGGGGUUCUGAGAGGAAGGUCCCCCACAUUGGAACUGAGACACGGUCCAAACUCCUACGGGAGGCAGCAGUGAGGAAUAUUGGUCAAUGGGCGAGAGCCUGAACCAGCCAAGUAGCGUGCAGGAAGACGGCCCUAUGGGUGGUAAACUGCUUUUAGAAGGGAAUAAAGUGAGAGUCGUGACUCUUUUUGUAUGUACCUGAUGAAUAAGGACCGGCUAAUUCCGUG
rnacentral:rRNA from 1 species